CCCAAAGUGGUGCAAUGGCAGCACGUCCAAGUUGACACACGGUCGCCUACCUGUAUGCGUGCCGUGCCUUCGGGGCUGGGAAAUCCGGGUUCGAUCCCCGGCUUUGGGA